AAUAAUACAUAAAAAUAUGAGAUUUAUAUAAAAAUGUUUUAUGUUUUAGUUUUAUUAGGUAGCAUAGAUAAGAAGAAAAAAAUACUCUUAAUUUGUAAUUAUCAUUUUUAUUUUUAAUGUCUUAAAAAUAAUUAUAAAAUGUUAUAUAUCUAUACUACAAUAAAACAAUAAAAAUUAUUUGAAAGGACCAAUAAUUGAGAUAAAAUAAUUUUUUUAAAUAUAUAUAUAUGUGUGUGUG
rnacentral:misc_RNA from 1 species